GCCCGCGGCCGGGACCCUGGCGUGCAGCGCGGGCCUCGGCGGGGCUCAAGGCCCCGGCCCGGAAGGAUGCGGCCCUGGGCGGCCCGGGAGCUGAGCAGGGCCCCCGCGCCGACCCCCGCGGGCCCCGGCCUCCGGAGCCGCAGCUGCCGCCCGGCCCCCGAGAGACAUGACUUGCAAGCCGCGUUCCGACUGGAUUCCCUACAGUGUCUUAGAUGAUGAGGGCAGCAACCUGAGGCAGCAGAAGCUUGACCGGCAGCGGGCCCAAUUUUAAAAAAAAGGAAGACAAACAAAAAAACAACAAUAUGGCAAGAAGUUAAUGACGAGUAUUUCAAUCUUUCCCUUUUCGGUUUUCAUCCAAGAAUCUUGACUGAACUGCAGUUGUGCACGGACGAAGGGAUCAUCCACUGACAGCAGGUGUAAGCAGCAUCUCCAGAGCAGCAGCCCACGAGGGGCUGGCAGCCCGCGAGCCAAAGCAGUUGGCCCAGAGUGUGGUGGGGCGUCCAGAGCUGAACUGAUAACAGCCUUCCUGUGAUACUCAGCCCGGAGAUCACGUUGGAAAGAGGUGGUCAUCAUGACUGGCUGUGUGUUCUCUCUUGACUGAUGGAGGAAACUGGAGGUCAAUUCAAAGAAAAAGAAUUGGAACAUUAUUAACUAUCUUGAAAUUCAGCAAUAUACCUAUAGAAAAACCAAAUCUAAAAAAGUCAAUGCACC